GUCAGGACGAUUAUUGGGCCUAAAGCAUCCGUAGCUGGUUUUGCAAGUCUCCGGUUAAAUCCACCUGCUUAACAGAUGGGCCGCUGGAGAUACUACAAGACUAGGGAGUGGGAGAGGCAGACGGUAUUCGGGGGGUAGGGGUAAAAUCCUCUGAUCCUUUGAGGACCACCAGUGGCGAAGGCGGUCUGCCAGAACACGUUCGACAGUGAGGGAUGAAAGCUGGGGGAGCAAACCGGAUUAGAUACCCGGGUAGUCCCAGCUGUAAACGAUGCAGACUCGGUGAUGCAUUGGCUUCUUGCCAAUGCAGUGCCGCAGGGAAGCCGUUAAGUCUGCCGCCUGGGAAGUACGGUCGCAAGAUUGAAACUUAAAGGAAU
rnacentral:rRNA from 1 species